rnacentral:lncRNA from 1 species
GCUUCUGAUGCCAACACUACCUUGAAAUCUAAUCUCCCACUUUUUAUUUUCCAAGACCCUCUCUAUAAUACGCGGGAGGCAUUUAGGACUUCUCCUGUUUAUAAGCUUUCCAUACUUUCAAAGUACAAACUCUUAAUGGGGCCUGUGAUUGGGUCCUUGUCAUGGUUAAUCUUUACUGUCACCUUGACCAGAUUUAGAAUCACCAUUGAAAAUCUCCUCUGAGGAGGUGACAGAUGCCCAUUCUGAUAGUGUAUGCCUUUAGUCCAGCACGUCAGUGGCAGAGGUAGGUGGAUCUCUAUGAGGCCAGCCUGGCCUACAGAGUGAGUUUGAGGAUACCCAGGGCAAAAUAGAGAAAUGUAACUCAACUGACUCAAAAAACAAGACAAAACAACCCAAAGAAAUAAAAAGAAAAAAGAUGGAGACAAACAAACCUAAACUGAAUAAAUCAAGCUGUGCUUUACUGAGUAAAAUAGAAACCAGUCUGGACAUGACUUGUAGAGGCCAAACUGUGCUGUACAAAGUGACAAGUGACAUGCCAUUGAGAGCCCAGGUAAAGCCACAUCUGCAAAUCAAGUCCAGUUUGUUGCCUGAGGUCUUCCACGGCUGUUCACACUGUCACAGCAGAGGUUCAGUCCCUGUGGUUUACAGUAGUUUUACUCUGACCAUAUGAUACCUGCACCAUUCACUUUCCCAGUCUUCCCAGCCCCACCCUGUUGAUAGAAUUGUCUCAGUUUUUCCUUAAGAACUAUGUUUGCGGUGGAAAUAAACUCAGGUUGUAAUUUCCUCCUUGGAAAGCACGCUGAACAUCGCAGAAGGCCUUUUGUACUGCAUGUUACUGGUUUUUAAAGGCAGCUGGUGGUGUUUAUUCUGAGACCUGCAUUUAUAGUUAGGGGGAAAUACCCUCACGUGACUACAAUCCAUUUACUUCUGCAAGUGUUGCUUUAAGAUCUAGUUCUGGCAUUCAGAUAUUCCAAUAGCAAUAUUAUUUUAGAGGCUGGUGAGACAGAUGGCCUAGCAGGUAAAGGGAGUCACUUCCACAAGCCUGUGGAACUGCGUUCAGUUCCCCAUAAGCCUUGUAAGGGUGAAAGGAGAGACUGUUCCACACAGUUAUCCUCUGACCUCUACACACAUACUGUGGGGUGUGCACAUACAUACAGUGAUAAUAAAUGAAACAAAUGAAAAUUAUUUAGUUUUAGACUAGUACAUAUGGAUAGGGAGUUUAAUUACAUAUUGAGUAUUUGUGACUUCCAGACUAUUAGGUACUUAUUAGACUAAGUUUCUGAAAUUUACCUAUUUCUAAUUAGGGUAAGUGGAACAAAUAUUUCAAUUUAACUUAUGCCUUGCUUAGAGUCGGGGCUGGGGUUGCUGAAACACGCCUUUGUUAUUCCAGCAUGAAUGGAAAGAAAGGAGAUGUUUUCUUUGCAGGGACGUGGAACUUGCAUCCAUCCAGAUGUGAAGAUUGCAGGGAGAUGCACAUUUUAAUCUGAUGAAGCAGUGGGCUUCAUUACUACUUAACAUCACAGACUGCAUCUCUCAAAGGCAGCCCAGUUCUUGCUGACUGAGGGCCCUCAGCGGCUCAGCCGUUCUGGGGUCUGUGUCUUGGAGGUGACUGGGGACGGCUCCGUGCAGCUGCCACACAGAUGCAGGCCGUUCACUAGGGAAAGGACUCAGUGACUAAGCUAACAAAUGGCAAGCUGGGGAGAGAGAUCAAGAGCCUGCAGCUGCUGAUUUGCAGCUGCCUCACUCAGGCCAAGCAGUCUGGCUCAACAUACAAAGCAAUGCACCUGCCCACAAAGUGAAAAGGGACAGGAGGCUUUUUGGAAGCAGCUCUGCACCGUUCCUAAACCAAGAGCAUCCUUUUGUUUAUUAGACUUUUUUUUCCCUUAAGUAAAGCUUGUUCUUUUGCAAUUUCAUAAUGUACACGUACAUAUUUUAACUCUUUUCCUACUAUAUUCUGUUUCUUCUCUUCCCUUAUCUGCCCCACCUCAUCCGUAAAAAAAUUUAUUCCCUAUUUUUCUAUUAGGGUUUUGUUUAGUGUCCCAUAGGAUUUCAUCAGGACUGUGUGUGUGAUCCAGAGUUUGGGACUAAUCAUCAGAGCCCGGCGAGCUCACCAAUGAACCACAACUAGACUGGUCUCACUAUGUAGUCCUCACUGGUCUGCACUAUUCUAUAUAGACCAGGCAAGCCUUCUGAAUGUUCUGAUUGAAGGCUCAGCACAAAUAGAUAAAGGAGAACUAUAUUUUCUUUAUUUUUUUCUUGAUUAUUUUAUAGAUGUGGCUAAGUGACAGUUGUUUGUACAGAUUUAGGGGUAAGAACACUGACUUCCUGUCCUCAUCCAUAAGAAAUCUACUAUCCUUCUGGUAUAGAAAGGGUAUCAUAUGGGGGAUGGCGAUAUCCUAUUAAUAUGAAUUAAAAAUGGAGUUUAGAAAGCCCUUUUACUGCUACUUUAAAAAGCCUAUUUACUUGUCUAGUUGCCCACCACCACCACCACCACCAUCAUCAUCAUCAGGGCCUCACUAUGUUGUCCCUGCUGGCCCUAGAACUCCUGGGGACUCUUGGGUGUCCUAGCCUCUGGAGUAACUGAGAUUACUUAGUACCGCUUAGCCUUGUUCACCUUAUGAGUUUUAAGUCCCUCUAGCUCAAAAUAAUACUUAUGGUAAAGUGACAUUUUUGUUUAUUUGUUUGUUUGAAACUGGGUCUUAUGAUGUAGCUCUGGCUAUUGUGGAACUUGCUAUGUAGACUAGCCUGGCCUUGAACUCACAGAGAUCCACUUGAUUCUGUCUCCUGAGUGCUUGGAUUAAAGAUGUGUGCCACCACACCCAACUAAGGUGACAUGUUUUGUCAUAUUCUUUCAUUCUUCACAGUCAAUUUUUACUCUCUCUCUCUCUCUCUCUCUCUCUCUGUGUGUGUGUGCGCGUGCGCACGAUAGAAAAAAUUUUAUAAGCCUUCAAAACAACAAGAUAUGAUUUUUGGUUCUUGUUUUUCAUUUUAAUUCUUUUCUACUCCUCUCUUCUAUCUAUAAUAGAGGCUUCACCU